CACGUAGGGUGCGAGCGUUGUCCGGAAUUAUUGGGCGUAAAGAGCUCGUAGGCGGUGUGUCGCGUCGGCCGUGAAAACCUGCAGCUUAACUGUGGGCUUGCGGUCGAUACGGGCAUCACUGGAGUUCGGCAGGGGAGACUGGAAUUCCUGGUGUAGCGGGGAAAUGCGCAGAUAUCAGGAGGAACACCGGUGGCGAAGGCGGGACUCUGGGCCGAUACUGACGCUGAGGAGCGAAAGCGUGGGGAGCAAACAGG
rnacentral:rRNA from 1 species